rnacentral:rRNA from 1 species
GACGUAGGGCGCGAGCGUUGUCCGGAUUUAUUGGGCGUAAAGAGCUCGUAGGCGGUCUGUCGCGUCGGAUGUGAAAACACGGGGCUCAACCCCGUGCCUGCAUUCGAUACGGGCAGACUAGAGUUCGGUAGGGGAGACUGGAAUUCCUGGUGUAGCGGUGAAAUGCGUAGAGAUCGGAAAGAACACCAACGGCGAAAGCACUCUGCUGGGCCGACACUGACACUGAGAGACGAAAGCUAGGGGAGCGAAUGGG